CCUUACAGAGUGCAUGGAGCACGCUAAUGGAAUUCCUGUGUUUCAGAGUCCAAAGGAAAGCAAGCUGCUGAAUUGUGCACAGCCAAUAAUGGGUACUGCCAAACACUGUUCAGAAGCUAGAAUGAAGUCUGGCAGGGCAGGAGGUUGCAAAUGUCAUUAUAGAUGUGUGAAGGGUGUUAGCCUGGUCCUUCUGUGGUCCCACUGAGAUAUUUCUUCAUUUACAUGAUGGCUGUUUGCAAGUUUGUUCCCUGCUCUCUCUGAUCCCGUGCUCACAGCAACAGUGGCAGCUUUUUUCCAUCCUUGGGGGUGAUGUUCUUUGCCUGUAGAGCUGAUCAGUGCCGAGUUUCUCCCAUUCAGCUUUUCCUGGUGCUUACUCCUGAGUGCAGCACUAUUCCAACCUGGCGGCAAGAUUUCCCUGAGGGUGCUUUACAGCUCAGCGUGUAUAUGGCAAUAGCAGUAAAAAUCCAGUCAGAGAUGCUUUUUUCCUCGAUUGCUUACCCUCAAUUAGGUUCUCCCAGACUGCAGGGUCUAUUAAACUACUGUCUGCAAGCUAAUACAGACUUGUUCCACCAGGAACUGGCUUGCUGCUAAUACUGGACCCACCUGGCUUUAGGUCAGGAAGCAUUGCCUCUUCUUGCCAUUUUUAGCACAUUCCACUGAACUAAUCAGUGUUUUGUGCCUUGAGGGGCUGACAGGGAGGGACAAUUUACAGUGUCUGUGCAAGUUGUGCUUGACUGGGUAAAAUUCAGCUCCAGCAAGAGCUGUUGUCAGAGUACAUGAGUUGUUUUUACUUUCAGCAGCACAGGGGAAGUCAGGCUGUUGCCUACUGCUGGUGUGGAGGGAUCCACCUGCACGUUCCCAUCGAGCUGCAGUGGGUGUCUUUGGAAAGCCUUUUCGGAAGGCAAAGCCCCAUUGUGCCCACAAGGGCUCCCCAAAGGGUGACUUCACACACCCAUGAUCUGUGAAAUUGAGUAAAUGCAAAGUCACUAUCUUUCACUGCAGAGAUGUCCCAUGGAUGCUGCUGGGAAUCUUAACCUGGGAAUUUAUUCUUCUGUCAGGGAAACCUGUGUGGACACUAUUCCACAAAAUAUUUUAUCUGUUGCUGGUGCUGCUGGAAGGAGAGGAUUUGUAUCAUACUGUGGUUUGCUGUUGGAGUGUAGCAAAAUUACUCCCUCAGAUUGCACUUCUGCCCAUCUUCCCUAGGAAAGAAUCACAAGGCCCAGUGUGGAGAGGAGCACACAGAUCCCUCUUGGAGGCCAUGUCAGCACUGCAGGGAGUGACUGGGAGGGUGGCUUGUCAGAAAUGUGAUGUGUGACAUGAGCCCUGUUAAAGUGUUGCAGCAGCCUUAGCUGUGACUGGCCUUGUGCAUGGAGGGGUGUGCACUUGAAUUUACCCUUUCCCUGGAGCUGUGGUCCCUGAGAGCUGUUGUCAGCAGCUAUGGAACACCUGCCUUCCAAUUCCUUGUCCUCACCAGGUACUGUUUCUGUUGCCAUGUGCAUUUGCAUAAGCAAAGUCAGAAUUGGACUGUUCCAGCUGAGUCUGUCCUGGUGCUGCCUUCUUAAGCCCUGAACAAGUUUCUCAGGGUACUCAGGGGAAACAACAGGCUUUCAGAUGAGUAUUUGGUGAAGAGUCAAGAAUGAAGAUAAAUCGUCUUUCAGGACGCCUAAAGUAUUGUGCACACUUUCCUUCUAUACAUGGAAUAUGUGCGGCCACCGCAUACCAGAGAGUGUGCUGAAAAUCCCACCUUUGGGCCACUUUUCCCUUUGCUACCGAGGUGAUAUCACCACUGAGACCUUGUAUUUGUGUGUUACCAACAAGAGCAGCACCUCGAUCUGCACCUCAGUGCAGACUGACCGUGGGGAGAGCGAGUGCCUCCAGCCCUCCGCGACAACCGGCUCCGGCACCGCUGAAAACCACUAGUGUUUAUAAACAGCCAAACGUUCAAAUCAUGGGAUUUCUUUAAGCACUGAUGGUAAGGCUUGACCCUGCAUAAAUAAAAUUUAAAGAACAGGCAGCCAGUUUCAGCAAUAAUCUUAUUUUACCGUCAUACAAGAAAGAAACUUGUUCAAUGAGAACUUUAAUAGAUAGCCGGUAUUAUUCGGAAUCUAUCUCAAAGAAAGAAUGGAUGGAUUUGUAUAAAUGUGAGUUUUGUGAGGAGUUUGAAUAAAAUCUUAAAUAUAAUAUAUUAAAAACUAAAAGUAUUUAUUUGUUUAAGUGCUGAAUGUCUUAAAAUUAGCUAGAAACUGCCUAUUCUUAGAUGAGAAAUUACAAAAGUACAGAAAUACUUCAAAUUUCUCUUCCAUUUUUGUCUUUGUACAUAUAGUAUAACUAAAAAUGAAUCUUUUUACAGAAAUGCAAGAGAGUUCUAAAUCAUGAAGCAACGGCUUUUUCUUUUGCAUUUUCCUAAUGUUUCUUGUUAUUUUAAAUUGAAACAACAACAAAUGUAGGAGUAAGUUGAAUGUCAGUCUAGUAAUAAUUUGUUGACUUUUCAUAUGAACAUAGAUCUUGAAAGAAUCUCCUGAGUACAAUUUCAAAAUAAUAAUAGAAUGGUAAAGUAUUUCCCAUGUCCUGUAUGUCUUAACAUGGUGUUUGUGUGCAAACAUGUGCACAUACUGUUCACAUGAUCAGCUACCAAAAUUAUACUAGAAAGGGCAUUCUCAAGGUUGUGAAGUCACGCUCAAAUGCUACUUCUUCCUAAUAUAGCCUGAAGUCAGCCCAACUCUCUGUAUGUUCUGGUGAAGCCCUUUAUUAUAAAAGCGCUCUCUAUUUUUCCUCAAUGCUUUAUUUUUUUCAGAACAUAAAGGCAAUACUAUUUUUUUUGUAUUAUUGUGUGCUCCAACACUUUCUUAUUUUGUGCUUUUAAAAAAUAAUUAAGAUCCUUAUAGCUUAUUUUUUAUAAUUAAUUCUCUAUACUGCAGUGUCUGUAUAAUUUGUUAAUUAGUUACAAGUAUUCUCUUCCUGCUGCUCUUGGUUUGUGUAUGUUUGUUUGUGCCAAGGUGUUACUUUGUUUUGUAAACUGCAAAAGUGGGAGAAGAUAAACCAGAAUUAUUAAUUAAUUUUGAGUGUCCAAUUUAAGAUAAUUAAAAUCUAUUAUUGUUGUA